rnacentral:rRNA from 1 species
GACAGAGGGUGCAAACGUUGUUCGGAUUUACUGGGCGUAAAGCGUGUGUAGGCGGCUUUGUAUGUCGGAUGUGAAAGCCCACGGCUCAACCGUGGAAGUGCAUCCGAAACUGCAUAGCUUGAGUCCCGGAGAGGAGAGUGGAAUUCCCGGUGUAGCGGUGAAAGUGCGCAGAUAUCGGGAAGAACACCCGUGGCGAAGGCGGCUCUCUGGAACGCAACUGACGCUGAGACGCGAAAGCGUGGGGAGCAAACAGG